CGUGAGCGACCUGCCAUACCUGUGGGGGAUAGCCGGCCCAACGGCCGGGUAAUACCGCAUACGAUCUUUGGGGCGCAUGCCUUGGAGACGAAAGCUCGUAAGGGCGCAGGAUGAGGGGCUCGCGGCCUAUCAGCUUGUUGGCGGGGUAACGGCCCACCAAGGCGAUGACGGGUAGCUGGUCUGAGAGGAUGAUCAGCCACACUGGGACUGAGACACGGCCCAG
rnacentral:rRNA from 1 species